rnacentral:misc_RNA from 1 species
GAUGAAGAACGUAGCGAAAUGCGAAAAGUAGUGUGAAUUGCAGAAUUCAGUGAAUCAUCGAAUCUUUGAACGCACAUUGCGCCCGUCAGUAUUCUGGCGGGCAUGCCUGUUCGAGCGUCAUUACGCCCCUCAAGUCCCCUGUGGACUUGGUGUUGGGGAUCGGCGAGGCUGGUUUUCCAGCACAGCCGUCCCUUAAAUUAAUUGGCGGUCUCGCCGUGGCCCUCCUCUGCGCAGUAGUAAAACACUCGCAACAGGAGCCCGGCGCGGUCCACUGCCGUAAAACCCCCCAACUUUUUAUAGUUGACCUCGAAUCAGGUAGGACUACCCGCUGAACUUAAGCAUAUCAAUAAGCGGAGGA